rnacentral:rRNA from 1 species
AAAGCACUUUAAGCGGGGAGGAAGGGCGCCUGGAUAAUACCUGGGUGCAUUGACGUUACCCGCAGAAUAAGCACCGGCUAACUCUGUGCCAGCAGCCGCGGUAAUACAGAGGGUGCAAGCGUUAAUCGGAAUUACUGGGCGUAAAGCGCGCGUAGGCGGUUAUGCAAGUUGGAGGUGAAAUCCCCGGGCUCAACCUGGGCACUGCCUUCAAAACUGCAUGGCUAGAGUAUGGGAGAGGAAGGUAGAAUUCCAGGUGUAGCGGUGAAAUGCGUAGAGAUCUGGAGGAAUACCGAUGGCGAAGGCAGCCUUCUGGCCUAAUACUGACGCUGAGGUGCGAAAGCAUGGGGAGCAAACAGGAUUAGAUACCCUGGUAGUCCAUGCCGUAAACGAUGUCAACUAGUUGUUGGGAGACUUGAUCUCUUAGUGACGCAGCUAACGCAUUAAGUUGACCGCCUGGGGAGUACGGUCGCAAGACUAAAACUCAAAUGAAUUGACGGGGGCCCGCACAAGCGGUGGAGCAUGUGGUUUAAUUCGAUGCAACGCGAAGAACCUUACCUACUCUUGACAUCUAGCGAACCCUGUAGAGAUACGGGGGUGCCUUCGGGAAUGCUAAGACAGGUGCUGCAUGGCUGUCGUCAGCUCGUGUCGUGAGAUGUUGGGUUAAGUCCCGCAACGAGCGCAACCCUUGUCCUCAGUUGCCAGCACGUAAUGGUGGGAACUCUAAGGAGACCGCCGGUGACAAACCGGAGGAAGGCGGGGACGACGUCAAGUCAUCAUGGCCCUUACGAGUAGGGCUACACACGUGCUACAAUGGUCGGUACAGAGGGUUGCUACGCCGCGAGGCCGCGCUAAUCUCAAAAAGCCGAUCGUAGUCCGGAUUGGAGUCUGCAACUCGACUCCAUGAAGUCGGAAUCGCUAGUAAUCGCGGAUCAGAAUGCCGCGGUGAAUACGUUCCCGGGCCUUGUACACACCGCCCGUCACACCAUGGGAGUCUGUUGCACCAGAAGUAGGUAGCCUAACCGCAAGGAGGGCGCUUACCACG